AUCGCUUCUCGGCCUUUUGGCUAAGAUCAAGUGUAGAUCUGUUCUUAUCAGUUAAUAUCUGAUAUGUUCUCCAAUGUGAGGACUAUAUAUUAACGGAUUUUUAGCACCGGGAGCUGAAAGAGGGGCUUGCUCCUUUCACUCCACGCAUCGACCUGGCACUGCAGUGCCGCCAGGAACGGUGCACCCUUC
rnacentral:snRNA from 1 species